UACAGAGGUCCCAAGCGUUGUUCGGAUUCACUGGGCGUAAAGGGUGCGUAGGUGGCCAGGUAAGUCGGAUGUGAAAGCUCGGAGCUCAACUCCGAAAUGGCAUUGGAAACUGCCUGGCUCGAGGGUUGGAGGGGGGACUGGAAUACUUGGUGUAGCAGUGAAAUGCGUAGAUAUCAAGUGGAACACCAGUGGCGAAGGCGGGUUGCUGGGCCGACACUGACGCUGAUGCGCGAAAGCCAGGGGAGCGAACGGG
rnacentral:rRNA from 1 species